UUGAACGCUGGCGGCAUGCCUUACACAUGCAAGUCGAGCGGCAGCGCGGGGGCAACCCUGGCGGCGAGCGGCGAACGGGUGAGUAAUACAUCGGAACGUGUCCCGUCGUGGGGGAUAACCAGUCGAAAGACUGGCUAAUACCGCAUGAGAUCGAAAGAUGAAAGCGGGGGACCGCAAGGCCUCGCGCGAUGGGAGCGGCCGAUGCCGGAUUAGCUAGUUGGUGGGGUAAAAGCCUACCAAGGCGACGAUCCGUAGCUGGUUUGAGAGAACGACCAGCCACACUGGGACUGAGACACGGCCCAGACUCCUACGGGAGGCAGCAGUGGGGAAUUUUGGACAAUGGGCGCAAGCCUGAUCCAGCCAUGCCGCGUGUGUGAAGAAGGCCUUCGGGUUGUAAAGCACUUUCGGACGGAACGAAAUCGCACGGGCGAAUAUCCCGUGUGGAUGACGGUACCGUAAGAAGAAGCACCGGCUAACUACGU
rnacentral:rRNA from 1 species